rnacentral:ncRNA from 2 species
ACAAGCUGCCAGGGGUGUCCGGCAAUCGUUGCUGGACUGAGAUGAUACCCUUUGAACCUGAUCCGGUUUGCACCGGCGAAGGGAGGCCGGCGGUGCUUUCU